rnacentral:rRNA from 1 species
GAUGAACGCUGGCGGCGUGCCUAAUACAUGCCAGUCGAGCGAACAGACGAGGAGCUUGCUCCUCUGACGUUAGCGGCGGACGGGUGAGUAACACGUGGAUAACCUACCUAUAAGACUGGGAUAACUUCGGGAAACCGGAGCUAAUACCGGGUAACAUGUUGAACCGCAUGGUUCAACAGUGAAAGACGGUCUUGCUGUCACUUAUAGAUGGAUCCGCGCCGCAUUAGCUAGUUGGUAAGGUAACGGCUUACCAAGGCAACGAUGCGUAGCCGACCUGAGAGGGUGAUCGGCCACACUGGAACUGAGACACGGUCCAGACUCCUACGGGAGGCAGCAGUAGGGAAUCUUCCGCAAUGGGCGAAAGCCUGACGGAGCAACGCCGCGUGAGUGAAGAAGGUCUUCGGAUCGUAAAACUCUGUUAUUAGGGAAGAACAAAUGUGUAAGUAACUAUGCACGUCUUGACGGUACCUAAUCAGAAAGCCACGGCUAACUACGUG